rnacentral:rRNA from 1 species
UACGUAGGGGGCAAGCGUUGUCCGGAUUCAUUGGGCGUAAAGAGCGUGUAGGCGGCCAGGUAGGUCGGUUGUGAAAACUGGAGGCUCAACCUUCAGAGGUCGACCGAAACCAUCUGGCUAGAGUCCGGGAGAGGAGAGUGGAAUUCCUGGUGUAGCGGUGAAAUGACGCAGAUAUCUGGAGGAACGACCGGUGGCGAAGGCGGCAUCCUGGACCAACACUGACGCUGAGGAGCGAAAGCCAGGGGAGCAACGGG